GCUAGGCACGGUGGCACAUGCCUGUAAUCCCAGCACCUUGGGAGGCUGAGGCAGGAGGAUCACAAGUCCAAAGCCAGCCUCAGCAAAAGUGAGGCUCUAAGCAACUCAGUGAGACCCUGUCUCUA
rnacentral:sRNA from 1 species